rnacentral:rRNA from 1 species
UACGGGGGGAGCAAGCGUUGUUCGGAUUUACUGGGCGUAAAGGGCGCGUAGGCGGCCACCGCAAGUCGGUUGUGAAAUCUCCGGGCUUAACUCGGAAAGGUCAACUGAUACUGUGCGACUAGAGUGCGGAAGGGGCAACUGGAAUUCUCGGUGUAGCGGUGAAAUGCGUAGAUAUCGAGAGGAACACCUGCGGCGAAGGCGGGUUGCUGGGCCGACACUGACGCUGAGGCGCGAAAGCCAGGGGAGCGAACGGG